GGGGCGGUAAACCGCUAUGGAGACGGGGCUGUUUGUAAAACAGUCGCGUGAGCUCGCCAGGUUCGAUUCCUGGACGCCCCACCA
rnacentral:tRNA from 1 species